AAGAAAUUCCGCCAUGAUAACAAGUUCGUGCUUUUAGAUUCCAUCUUUUACUGACAGAGUAAAAGCCUUGAAAUCUCACUUAACAAAAAAGAAAAGCAGUGAUCUACAAGUAUUUUUUUCAGUCCUCAAACCUUUGCUCUGGUGCUGCAUAUCAGUAUCUGACGUAAAAAGCAACGUGGUAUGCCAUUAUUUUGUGUCUGAACAAGUUCUAUGGCAUUGUAAUAUGCUGUCAUACAUUGCAUGGUACUGUCAAAUACGCAUAGAUUAUCAUCAAUUGUCACGAGAUUGGGGAUGAUGCAUUGAUCAAGGUCUCGAUACAAAGCUUCGGAGGAAUCUGCCCAAAUUCUCUCACCAAAUCAACCUUUGAAGCUCAUUUUUGGGAACAGAUACUUGGGAUGGAAAUGCUUUACUUACAAACUUCACUAAUUUUGGAUUUUGAUUCUCUACCAUACAAUCAAUCAGUUUUGUAGGCAUCAACAUAUCUCUACUCGGUAUUAAAUAUAACUCACUAGACUA